rnacentral:ncRNA from 1 species
UACCUUUGCGCCCGAAAAAAAAUUGUACAUAAUAAUCAUUAAAUUAAUAUUGGAAUG